rnacentral:rRNA from 1 species
CCUACGGGGCGCAGCAGUGGGGAAUAUUGGACAAUGGGCGAAAGCCUGAUCCAGCCAUGCCGCGUGUGUGAAGAAGGCCUUCGGGUUGUAAAGCACUUUCAGUGGGGAAGAAAGCCUUGGGGCUAAUACCCUCGAGGAAGGACAUCACCCACAGAAGAAGCACCGGCUAACUCCGUGCCAGCAGCCGCGGUAAUACGGAGGGUGCGAGCGUUAAUCGGAAUUACUGGGCGUAAAGCGCGCGUAGGCGGUCUGAUAAGCCGGUUGUGAAAGCCCCGGGCUCAACCUGGGAACGGCAUCCGGAACUGUCAGGCUAGAGUGCAGGAGAGGAAGGUAGAAUUCCCGGUGUAGCGGUGAAAUGCGUAGAGAUCGGGAGGAAUAACAGUGGCGAAGGCGGCCUUCUGGACUGACACUGACGCUGAGGUGCGAAAGCGUGGGUAGCAAACAGGAUUAGAUACCCCUGUAGUC